AACGCACAUUGCGCCCACUGGUAUUCCGGUGGGCAUGCCUGUUCGAGCGUCAUUAUCCUCCCUCAAGCCCUCGUGUUUGGUGUUGGGCCGCGUUGGUGUCACAGCCAACUGGUCUCAAAGACAAUGACGGCGUCCGUGGGACCCUCUUCGCAACGAGCAUCUUCGGAAGCACGCGUCGAGUCUAAAGGACCUUCCGGGCCGGUCUACCCUUUAUCUUUCUAAGGUUGACCUCGGAUCAGGUAGGAAUACCCGCUGAACUUAA
rnacentral:misc_RNA from 1 species